UUGUUCAUUUGCAUCCUUUACUUAAGCACGACAAGUCUCCUCUUCAUACGCCAUGGUUUAUUCCUUAAUGUGGCAAUGAGUUUCUUCUUCUCCUCUACCUCUUCCUUCAAGAUCGCCAUCUCGCCCUCCGACAGAGACUCUUCACUAGAGUCAGAGGAGGAUGAAGAGCUGUUGAAAGGGGAAAAAGUGAUGAUGUGCCAUGGCUUUUCCAAGAUGCUACAAAUUGCUAGAAUCUCUGAGAAUACUGCACCUGCUCAAGGUCCUCUUCUUCUUCUUUUUGUCCUUCUCACCAUCAUUAUCAUUCCCUCUUUUCCCUUUACCAUUCCCUUUCUUCUCUUUAUUCUGUUCUUCCUUGUCCUUUUUGGGCACGGAUUUACCCCCCUUUUUCUUCCUCCUUUGGUCCUCUUCGCUCUCAUCUUCGCUCUCCUCCUGCUUCGCUUUCUUCCUAGAAGCUUUGGAGGCUUUCCUUUUCACACUCCUCUUAUCUUCCUCGUCAUCUUCAUCGCUGUCCGUGAGUUUAGCGUUCUUCUUUUUUCCUCUCUUCCUCGGUGCCUCAUCCUCAUCCUCCUCUUCUUCCUCUUCAUCACUGAAGUGCUUGGCUUUACGCUGUGGUUUUGUUCUUCUGUUUUUACUUCUUUUCCUGGCCUCAUCUAAAACAAAGACAUUUUUAGAUGUUUUGUUUUUGACAGUUUGAUGGAGUAAUUCAACCAUGAAAAGUUGCCAUGGCAAUCUGCACGUAGGUGGAGUGAGUGGAGUGGAGAGGCGGGGGGGACUAGUACUCUCUCCCAAGUACUUUCUCCCAGUUUCAGGCUUGGCACCCUGUGCACCUUCUGGUCACUUUGCAGAGGCAAACCAGGCAGAUACCCAGAAGCCUCGUUGUUGCUAUGGUGAUACCUUCUGGAGGCAGUGGCUCUGGUGGCUGGAAGCAUUUGGUCUUUGAUAGCAGGACAGUUGCGUCCAUUCUUGUCAUGAUGUGACCUCUGCCCUCUGGUACGGUUUUCCUCCACGUCUAUGGAUAAGGAGGAGGAAUCAUUUGCAUUUGUGGAAACAACACUCUUUAUUAUACAACAUUGAAAUUUUGAAAAUGUUAACGUAGCGACAGCUUUUCUUCCUUGUAAUGUAUCACACAGCCACAAGGUUAGCAUGUCGACCACACAGUCAGUAGACUGAGGGUUUGAAUCUCUUUUGAGGCGUCUCUGUGUGGAAUUUGCAUGUUGUCCCUGUGUGUAUGUAUGUAUGUAUGUUAGGUAACUGGAGACUCUAAAUUGUCCAUAGUGAGUGUGAAUGGUUGUCCGUGUAUCCUGUGAUUGACUGUCCAGGGUGUAUUCUGCCUCUCACUUAAAAAUCAGCUGGGAUGGGCUCCAGCUCACCCUUGACCCCAAUGAGGACAAGCGAAAAUGGAAACAAAUGGAAAAAUUGUGAAAUGGGAGAAAAAUGGGAAGGAUAUAUCUCACUUUCAUGGCCUUGUUUGUCUUCAGCCUCUGAUGCAAUUUUUCUGGCCUCUUGCAAAUCCAAGGCCGCCUUCAAUGCAGCGAGUUUGUUCUUUUUCUUGUUCUCUUCAUUUUGCUUGGAUGAGAAAUCCACAAAAUACAAAAGAGAGAAUUCUGUAUCAAUCUUUCCAAGAAUACAAUACACUAUUACAUUUAUAAUGACUCCAGGCUGACCUGACUGUUUUUUGACUAAUGACUCUACUGCCAUCUGCUGUAGGAAUGUAACACAUACUGUACAGCUACAGCCCAUAAUUAAAAAAGUAGAGGUGCAUGGAUACAUAGCAGAGGUGGGAGUAAGUCAGUGUUUUGCAAAUCUCGUGUAAGUCUCAAGUCUUAAAUUUCAAGUAUAUACGUGGAAGCCCAAGUCAAAUCUUAAGUCAGGACACAACAUGUUCAGUCCUGAGAAAUCAUUUCAUAAAAUCCAAUUUUAACAACAUAACAAUUUAUUAAAUGUGACAAUUGUAAUGAAUGCAUUUUGAAUUGUUUUUUCAUGAUUCAGGAUUUAUGCAAUGUGAUCCACACAUUCAUUCUUAGUUCUUAAAUGUAAUUGGAGGUUAACAGAUGCAUUCAAUGAGGCAGGUUCAAAGGCAAAAUGUGUUGUCUGGUUGAAAAUGACAUAACUAUCACGUGAGUUGAAUGCAUUGAAAAGUGGCACAUUUCACUGAAAAUCUAUUUUGAAGUCCUCCGGCUAAAGCUCAAGUCAAGUCAUUGAUGUCAAAGUUAAGUUCAAGUUAAGCCAAGUCCAAAGUCAGUCAUCGGAAGUGUGACUCGAGUCUGACUCGAUUCCAAGUUACAAAACCUAAAAAAGUUGGAAAAUCUAUUUACCGCCUGUAGUUUUUUCUUCAGUUCAAUGUUUGCUUCUUUGUAGCUUUUGGAAGUGGACUGCAAGUAAUAAAUGGCCAGCCUGUAA